rfam:Lingula anatina scaffold102, whole genome shotgun sequence.
UGAAGCUGAUGAUGAGAAAAAGUUAUCCCUGUCAGAACAACAGGUGUUGAAACAUGAAUUCCUCGUUUAUGAAGCUUCG